UAAGGAGAGAGAAAGGAAUUUUUCUUUGAUUGCUGGAUGAAGAACGGAGCUAAAUCCAGCAGACCUUGUUUUGGCAAAACUCCCACUGAAGUCAGGGCUUGUGAAAGUCAGGUCCAUGUGGAUCUUGCUGUAGCUCCAAGGACAGCUGAAAUCAACAUCACUAAAUCCCCCAAAGCUGCAGAAUAUUACAGUAGCUUUAUAGCUGGGAUGCCUCCUCAUCCACUUCUGGAUAGGGAUAAGGAGAAGCCUUUGGAAAGUGAGCUGCUGCUCAUGUGACUGCUCAGAUUGGUGUUCCAGCUGGGACAAAUUUGCCUUCAGCGAACGCCUCCGUUGGAAGUGCAGGAAUGGCUUUGCCAUGGCUUC